rnacentral:rRNA from 1 species
UCCGUAGGCGGUGCGGCAAGUCGGAAGUGAAAUCUCUGGGCUUAACCCAGAGGCUGCUUCCGAAACUGCCGUGCUAGAGUGCGAGAGAGGCGAGUGGAAUUGCGGGUGUAGCGGUGAAAUGCGUAGAUAUCCGCAGGAACCAUCCGAGGCGAAGGCGGCUCGCUGGAUCGCAACUGACGCUGAGGGACGAAAGCUAGGGGAGCAAACAGGAUUAGAUACCCUGGUAGUCCUAGCCCUAAACCAUCAGGACUUGGGGUUUGCCCUGUACGGGGCAAGUCCCGUAGCUAACGCGUUAAGUCCUGCGCCUGGGGAGUACGGUCGCAAGGCUGAA